rnacentral:lncRNA from 1 species
CAACCCAGAGGCACGAAGAAACCGGCUGGCCGAUGCCACGGCGCGAGAAGUGGCCAUGAGCAAACAAAUCUUGCCCUUAAAUAGCCCAGACCAACCCACGCCCCCACCAGUGGGACAAACCAGUUGGGUUUACGCCCAUGAGGACAUAGAGCUCCUAAAAAAAAAUGGGGGCCAUCUACCACCCUCAACUAAAACAGUGGGUCUACAAAGGACUUUUGAAUUGAUCUCCUUUUUACAUAAAUUAACCCAUUUGGGGUUUAAGAAGAUGAAAACCUUACUAGAUCGGGAAGAGAUAAAUCUGUGUUUGUUUUUUUUUAAUUGGGACAAAGCGAUACAAAAGGUGACUGAGAGUUACAAAGCGUGCGCUCAGGUUAACCUGGGAAGGACCAUGAUUGGACAAGGAGUUCGUCCUAGGGGACACCGUCCCAACAUCCAUUGGGAAAUUGAUUUUACUAAAAUUAAACCAGGUAUAUAUGGAUACAAGUAUCUCCUAGUGUUUAUAGACACCUUUUCAGGAUGGGUCGAAGCCUUCCCCACAAAGCACGAGACUACAAAAAUGGUCACCAAGAAGCUCC